CAGCAGCCGCGGUAAUACGUAGGUGGCAAGCGUUGUCCGGAAUUAUUGGGCGUAAAGGGCCCGCAGGCGGUUUCUUAAGUCUGAUGUGAAAGCCCCCGGCUCAACCGGGGAGGGUCAUUGGAAACUGGGAAACUUGAGUGCAGAAGAGGAGAGUGGAAUUCCACGUGUAGCGGUGAGAUGCGUAGAGAUGUGGAGGAACACCAGUGGCGAAGGCGACUCUCUGGUCUGUAACUGACGCUGAGGAGCGAAAGCGUGGGGAGCGAACAGGAUUAGAUACCCGCGUAGUCCCUGUCUCUUAUAC
rnacentral:rRNA from 1 species